ensembl:lncRNA
AAGCUGAACUCUGCACAAAGUCCAAUGUGUCCAACUAUCUGGAACACGUUGUCCAGCCAACACUCCAAACCGCGGACCUCGCUGACUGGUCGAAAUGCACCAGAUGGACGAUUUGACCCUUUUGUCACUUUUGGUGAUUGAUGUUGUUUUUAAAAGCACGAGCCCAUCGGAGCGACUUUCGGCGCAGGGUCUUUCAACAGCGUGGACAUUUCCUGUCAGCACAAACAAGACGUUGCUCAACGAAGCUGUGGUUUUUCCUGGAGGGGAUUUCUGCUGCAUUUGCAGUAAUGUCUCCUUUUACCACAAGGAUGCCGGCCAAUUAAAAGCUGAAAAUCUGUUAUUCAGCACAAGCAAAUGACUGUUGACUGCUGUGCAGAAGCCCACAGCGGGCUUCCUCUGGAAAGUGUAGGGGUUAGCUUCCAGAUGGUCAACGGAUCUGCUUAAUGCACCAGAGGGGAGGAUGAGACUCCUGCUGCAAUUAAAUCAAACGAGUCGGCGACGACACUUUCUUCGCAUACCGUGCAAAUAUUGUUAAGGAAAUCUUGACGGACAAAAUCUGAUCCUUACUAGACGGGAUUAAUACGUGGUCCAUGUGUGGGUGCUCGUGUUUAAGAUAUAAAGGGGAAUUCAACGUUGUCACACAUGAAAUUCAACAAGUCUCAAGGAGUAUGGAGCCCCUUUUCCACAAAACUCCUCUCUUACAUCCGUUUCCGUAUUUUCGGCCCUUUAGUGGCACUUUCUUUGUCAUCUCAGAUACAAAUCCUCCGCUUCUCUGUCCGAGCAACGCUUUCAAAUGACUCCACUUCGAACAUGAAGCGAGACAGAAAAAAGAUGGACACUCAUAAUCAUCUACAAUGAGUGUGUUGUUCAAGAUUCAAGGUUCAAAGAUUUUCACUGUCAGUUACACACGCCCUGUGUAUUGAAAUUAUUGUGCUUGCCUUUUCUGGAAAGCAAAGCAAUUUUAAAAUUAAAAUUAAAAAAAAUAUUUACAUAAAUGUACAUGAAAUAAAAAUAAAAACGAGGUAAGGAUAAGGCAGAAAUGAGGUAAGGAGGAAAAGUGCAAAACUGAGCAGGUUGUAAAAGAAAAAAUUCUUUAUAUUGCACACAUUUCAUUUAAUUUAAAAGUACAGUAACAGUAAGUGAAAUCCUAACAAGCUAAAGUUGUCUAUUACCUCGUUAAAAAGAAACAUCCAUGUACCUGAUUGUGGUGAAAAAGUGGUUUUAUUGAACAUGUGAGGCAACAUCAUUAGUGGCGGAAAAAUGAAUUCAUUGAAGAUGAAAUAAUGAGUUGCAAGUUAUGAGUAAGUGAGUCAAUAAGUCAUGUAGGUGCACGUUUAGAGCUUUUAACACUGGCGAACACUGACAGCAGAGAGUCACCCAACAUGUUGAUGGUAAAAAGGGAUUAGCUGUCAGUUUACACUGAACAUCUACAUGUGCACCACAACUAUUUCAACUUCAUUCCACCAAUAAUGAAUGAACUGCUGAGGGGCGCCGGGUCGAGGAGACGGAGGGCAGGUGGGUGCCGACGGAGCCGAGAACCACUGAGACGGCCACACAGACACCGGCAGGUCCCCCACAUGGCACGACAUAAGGAGCGCGAGCUCCGAAAUCCCUCCACCCUUCUCCACCUUUCUCCACCCGCCAUCCUCUCCUCCUCUUCUCCCGCCGCACAUCAGCUCUGUGAGAGAAGGCCGCGGAAGCCGCGAGAGCAAGUGGAGCAUUUUGAAUAUCUAUUUUUGCCGUGUUACGCGUCCUCAGAGGACACGCCGAAGCGCACAGUGCUGAAUCACUGAAGCCACGCGUGACACCUGGCUGCUGCCGCCGGGUGAAAACAGCGACGGCUGUUAUUUGUGUUUUCGUAUUUCUCUCGAUUGCAAUCGAUGGAAUCGACGCGUUGCCCUCUACAACUCCCGCUCACCUCAAACUAAUGAGGAAGAGGCCAAUUACAGCGCCGAUCGCCUUCCAAGUCUUCGUUAAAGGCCCGGUCCGUGUCUGCGGGCCAAAGAGGAGAGUGGAAGGAGUUCUUGACCUUGGCUUUGUGUAACUUCACUUUUGUCAAAGGAGGCAUCACCAAAACAAAUGAAUUAAAAAAACAGCCGUAUUUGCCGGUGAAAGAGAUAUUUCUCAGCUUUCCAGUGCGAUAGAGAUGAUGGAGGAACGAAAGCAUGGCCGUAAUCUCCGGCAUCCGCUAUCAAAGCUCUCUGUGUCUAUAUCGCUUUCUCUCUCUUCCCUUCUAGGCUCAUUUGUCCUCUUUUUUUUUUUGAAUUUCUCCCCCCUCCCCAUCUUUGCCAACCUUCCCUUACUGUGCCACUUUGUGUAACUCUAUUGCCCCUGAAACGUUAUAACCAACCACACCAGCAGCGCUGCUACCACUGCAGGGCUCGUCCAGAUGUGCAGUGGAUCAGACCGGCAUCACCAGCAGACACUGAGAAGAGUCACUGGAUGUCACAUCCAGGAUGUACUGUACGUGCCGCCGGGCUUCCCAGCUGUGGGGGACUUUCAUCCGCGACACCACAGAGAAGGACCACUUCCGGUAUUCAUUACAAAUGGCUGUCACCAUGUGAGCCAAACAGGAAUGUUCCAACGCACGUGAAGCAUUUCAGGGGGAACUACACUAUCAAUUAGAGCGCGACCUUUUCUUUGCUUGGGCUUUGGCCUUUGCGUAAUCAUUUGGCUGAUGGUUGGAUAAUGGAGUUGCAGUCCGGGGAUGACGAGAGACGUUACAUUUAGGACACCUGGCUUCGCAGGAAAACACGCAGGAUGUAAUUUGAACGGUAGAAAGAAUGCACGUACCGUAAAGUAAUUCACGUCUCAGUUUGGCCAGUGCUUGGAGAGCAAAAAACACCAGUGCCACUGUUUGCUCACCUCCGCUCUCUUCCUCGACUGGCGAGGUGUCUGCGAGGUUCGGGCCAGCACCCUGCAGAGAGGAGUCCACCUCAUCCAAACGAGGCCUGACAGGCGACUGCGUCCACGACGCCGCGUGCACACUGGGACCGGCCGCCAGGGGCAUUCGGCUAAGACGUCGGCCAACGGCUCAGCAUCCUCCUACAGCAUCGAGAGCUGCUCCAACGAACGCUGCAUGAACACGAGAUGUUUCGGAGGGCUUUCUAACUUGAAGCCGCCGCUCUGGGUUCCUGCGCUCCUCUCCCUCGCUCCCUCCGCCGAUUGAUAUUCGCGCCGAGCAGGCAGCCUGAGCCCCGGAGCUCAAAGGGUUCCGUAUCUGUGGUCCACGGCGCUGAAGAGGGUGGAACGCAGUGAAAUAAUAGAAAUCUUAAGAGGUGAGAAUCAAGCGCUGUUGUGCUUCCCUCUGUGUCAGCUGGAGGUGUUUAUUGUGCUAAAACAGCCAGAGCCCGUGCAGCUGCCCUGGGUUUGUAUUACCCCGGCGUCUACGCACCAGCUCCGCCUGGGACGCGUCCCAGCAGCAGGCUGCUUGGACCUCAACCCUACCAGGACGGUCGUCCUUUGUGGAAAGAAACUGGACCCGACGCGGCUUCUCACGCAAACCGGCAACCCGACGUAAGAUUCCCAGAUGGCCGACCGCGUGAACCAACGCACCCCUGGAGUUGGCGCGGCGCUUCCCGUCCGGCUCAGCGUGACCACGCCGCCGGCCGAGCGCUCCCCAGAGGGCGCUCCGUCAUCUACCGCCAGCCCUAUUCUGAGGAGGUCAAGCGCGUUGUCCCUCCGACGGCGGCUGGAGCCCCGGGCCGGCCUGACCUUGUGGAUUGGCGUCCCCAAGGUCGCAGCCGGCCGCCCUCGCCUGUCUACGAUGGGCGCGACCACGCGGUUGACGAGUCUGUCCCAAAUGGACGUGACGUGUCUGUGAGGGGGCUCCCGCUGCCCCGAAGCGGGGGUCGUGGCGCUUACCCAAGCUCUAUUCCUGGACGCGGCCUGGCGAGAGAUGCCCCUGUCCUCCGCUCAUCCGGCUCCGCCGCCAGGGCGCCGUCCGGCCCAGAUCCCGGACCAGCCGGGAUUGGCCUGUCUGGCAGUCUUGCGCGUCCCCUGCGCAGACGCCUCCACGUCGAACAGCCUUUUGCAAGGUGACCCUGUUCAAGGACGUCGGGCGGAACGCAGCAUCGGGUCCAGUUGGAAUGAGUCGGGGAGCGUGACGCUUUGCCGUCGUCUUCCUGUGAGGAUCUGUUGAAGAUGGCAGGCGAGCAUUUUUUGACUGAUGAGAAAUGUGUUUGUCAGGUGUUCUCUAACUGUUUUUUUGUUUAUUGAACAAUGCUCAUCGUGUGUGUGUGUGUCUAUAUGCUUGUGCAUUGUCCCUUACUUGAAUGUAACACUAAAACUAGAUGCUUUCUUGAAUACACGUUGUAUUUUGCCUCUUUCUGCUCCCCCAUCAGAGAUGUGUUACCACAGUGCCAUCUGUUGGUUCUGAGGUGAAGUUCUUCCUUCGGCUCACAUUGUUUGAGCACAGAAGCUCGACAAACGCCCUCAUCUCUUUACGCUCUUCAUUUUGCCCAAUGUCCAAAUAAAGUCUUUCAGUCAUCA